GAUGAAGAACGUAGCGAAAUGCGAUAAGUAAUGCGAAUUGCAGAAUUUCCGUGAGUCAUCGAAUCUUUGAACGCACAUUGCGCCCGCCGGUAUUCCGGCGGGCAUGCCUGUUCGAGCGUCAUUUCAACCCUCAAGCUCUCCGGAGUUUGGUGUUGGGGCACCUGGGGUUUUCUAACCUUCAGGGCCCUCAAGUACAACGGCGGGACCGCCCGGACACUGAGCGCAGUAGUUCUAUUUCGCUCGGUGGAAUCUUCCGCGGCGGGUCGAUCUGGCCGCUAAACCCCCCAAAUUUACCAAAGGUUGACCUCGGAUCAGGUAGGAAUACCCGCUGAACUUAAGCAUAUCAAUAAGCGGAGGA
rnacentral:misc_RNA from 1 species